rnacentral:rRNA from 1 species
AACCAGAAGGCGCAAUGAAAGUGAAGGCACGGUCGCCGUGCUGAGGUGAGAGCCGUCCCCGACGGCACAUCAUCGACCGAUCCCAUCCGCUCCCUCGUGGUGCGGCGGGAUUCGAGUAAGAGUGUACCUGUUGCGACCCGAAAGAUGGUGAACUAUGCCUGAAUAGGGUGAAGCCAGAGGAAACUCUGGUGGAGGCCCGUAGCGAUUCUGACGUGCAAAUCGAUCGUCAAAUUUGGGUAUAGGGGCGAAAGACUAAUCGAACCAUCUAGUAGCUGGUUCCCUCCGAAGUUUCCCUCAGGAUAGCUGUAGCCCUAAGCAGUUUUAUCAGGUAAAGCGAAUGAUUAGAGGUAUCGGGGAAGAAACUUCCUCGACCUAUUCUCAAACUUUAAAUAGGUAAGAAGUCCGACUUGCUUAAUUUGAAGCCGGACACAGAAUGCUGGGUUACUAGUGGGCCAUUUUUGGUAAGCAGAACUGGCGAUGCGGGAUGAACCGAACGCCGAGUUAAGGUGCCAAAGUCGACGCUCAUCAGAUCCCACAAA